GGGGGAAUAUUGCACAAUGGGCGCAAGCCUGAUGCAGCCAUGCCGCGUGUAUGAAGAAGGCCUUCGGGUUGUAAAGUACUUUCAGCGGGGAGGAAGGGAGUAAAGUUAAUACCUUUGCUCAUUGACGUUACCCGCAGAAGAAGCACCGGCUAACUCCGUGCCAGCAGCCGCGGUAAUACGGAGGGUGCAAGCGUUAAUCGGAAUUACUGGGCGUAAAGCGCACGCAGGCGGUUUGUUAAGUCAGAUGUGAAAUCCCCGGGCUCAACCUGGGAACUGCAUCUGAUACUGGCAAGCUUGAGUCUCGUAGAGGGGGGUAGAAUUCCAGGUGUAGCGGUGAAAUGCGUAGGGAUCUGGAGGAAUACCGGUGGCGAAGGCGGCCCCCUGGACGAAGACUGACGCUCAGGUGCGAAAGCGUGGGGAGCAAACAGG
rnacentral:rRNA from 1 species